AACGUAGGAGGCGAGCGUUAUCCGGAUUUACUGGGUGUAAAGCGCGUGCAGGCGGACGGGUAAGUUGGGUGUGAAAGCUCCCGGCUCAACUGGGAGAGGUCGCUCAAGACUGCCGGUCUGGAGCGUGGCAGGGGAAGGCGGAAUUCCGGGUGUAGUGGUGAAAUGCGUAGAUAUCCGGAGGAACACCAGUGGCGAAAGCGGCCUUCUAGACCACGACUGACGCUCAGACGCGAAAGCUAGGGGAGCAAACGGGAUUAGAGACCCCGGUAGUCCUAGCCGUAAACGAUGUGAACUUGGCGCCGGUGGGGUAAAACCGGUCGGUGCCGCAGCUAACGCGAUAAGUUCACCACCUGGGGACUACGGCCGCAAGGUUAAA
rnacentral:rRNA from 1 species